rnacentral:rRNA from 1 species
AGUGAACGCUGGCGGUAGGCCUAACACAUGCAAGUCGAACGGCAGCACAGUAAGAGCUUGCUCUUGCGGGUGGCGAGUGGCGGACGGGUGAGGAAUACAUCGGAAUCUACUUUUUCGUGGGGGUUAACGUAGGGAAACUUACGCUAAUACCGCAUACGACCUACGGGUGAAAGCAGGGGAUCUUCGGACCUUUCGCGAUUGAAUGAGCCGAUGUCGGAUUAGCUAGUUGGCGGGGUAAAGGCCCACCAAGGCGACGAUCCGUAGCUGGUCUGAGAGGAUGAUCAGCCACACUGGAACUGAGACACGGUCCAGACUCCUACGGGAGGCAGCAGUGGGGAAUAUUGGACAAUGGGCGCAAGCCUGAUCCAGCCAUACCGCGUGGGUUAAGAAGGCCUUCGGGUUGUAAAGCCGUUUUGUUGGGAAAGAAAAGCAGCAGGUUAAUACCCCGCUGUUCUGACGGUACCCAAAGAAUAAGCACCGGCUAACUUCGUG